CUUUCCCCCUCUUUGAAUGCUUGAGCAAGAGAUGGAUGAUGAAGCACCCAUCAAGUAGCAUAAGUUCCGCCAUCUCGUGGGCUUUCAGUUUAGGGAAGUCGUCCGCGUAGCAGCUCCGGACCUCGGCAUCCCAUGCCUUUAACUCUGACAAGCAAUCAUCCAAUAACUGCCUUGCGUGCUCUGGGCUUCUAUGGCGUGAGA
rnacentral:lncRNA from 1 species